AUGAUGGCACAGAACCAGCUUCUUAUGGUGAUGCUGGUCUGGGUCUCAGGUGCCACUGAGGACAUAGCGAUGACUCAGUCUCCAGCCUUCCUGGCUGUGUGUCCAGGUGAAAUGGUCACCAUCAACUACAAAUCCAGUCAGAGUGCGGACACAAACAUAGGCUGGUACCAGCAGAAAGCAGAACGGCCUCUCAAGUCUCUCAUCUAUCUGGCAUCCUCCCUGGCUUCUGGGGUCUCCAACCGGUUCCAUGGUAGUGGGUCUGGGACAGAUUUCACUCUCAGCAUCAACAGUCUCCAAGUUGAAGAUGUGGCACUUUAUUGCUGUCAGCAACGUAAUAGCUUACCACCCACAGAGUUUCAGCCUGGAACAGAAACCUCCUCCCUUGGCUAUGUCUCAAUCCUCUUGGUUUCAGUGGCUGCUCAGAGCUUUACAAAUAUGACCUUUCCUCCUGUCAGUGAGAACUGA